UACGUAGGGUGCAGGCGUUACUCGGAAUUACUGGGCGUAAAGCGUGCGCAGGCGGUCUAUUAAGUCAGGUGUGAAAUCCCCGGGCUUAACCUGGGAACUGCGCUUGUAACUGAUAGGCUGGAGUGUGGCAGAGGGGGGUGGAAUUCCACGUGUAGCAGUGAAAUGCGUAGAUACCAGGAGGAACACCGGUGGCGAAGGCGGCUUCCUGGCCGAGUACUGACGCUGAGGCACGAAAGCGUGGGGAGCAAACAGG
rnacentral:rRNA from 1 species